UACGUAGGGGGCUAGCGUUGUCCGGAAUCAUUGGGCGUAAAGGGCGCGUAGGCGGCUCCGUAAGUCGGACGUGAAAUCCCUCGGCUCAACUGAGGAACUGCGUCCGAUACUGCGAAGCUUGAGUCCCGGAGAGGGUAGCGGAAUUCCCAGUGUAGCGGUGAAAUGCGUAGAUAUUGGGAGGAACAUCGGUGGCGAAGGCGGCUACCUGGACGGGUACUGACGCUGAGGCGCGAAAGCGUGGGGAGCAAACAGG
rnacentral:rRNA from 1 species